GGCAAUAAAACCUAGUGACUAAGAGUGUGGGUUCUAGAGUCAGACUGUGGGUUCAAAUCCCACUUUUGCCA
rnacentral:tRNA from 1 species